rnacentral:ncRNA from 1 species
CUAACUAACUGCCAAACUUGUGUGUAAACCAAGGACGGAAAGUUACAGGUCUUAAUUACUUGAGAUGGCUGGGCUGCAAAU